rnacentral:rRNA from 1 species
CGGACGGGUGAGUAAUGUCUGGGAAACUGCCUGAUGGAGGGGGGUAACUACUGGAAACGGUAGCUAAUACCGCAUAACGUCGCAAGACCAAAGAGGGGGACCUUCGGGCCUCUUGCCAUCGGGUGUGCCCAGAUGGGAUUAGCUAGUAGGUGGGGUAACGGCUCACCUAGGCGACGAUCCCUAGCUGGUCUGAGAGGAUGACCAGCCACACUGGAACUGAGACACGGUCCAG